GCUCCGGCUUCUGGCGCUGCUGCUUCUGCUGCUGCCACCGCCCGCGCGCGCCCCGAAGCCCUCGGCGCAGGACGUGAGCCUGGGCGUGGUGAGCGCGGGGUCCGCAGGCUCCUGGGGUCUGCAGGGAGAUUGGGAGAGGGAAGCCGGGCCCGGACUCCUGGGUCCGGAGGAGGCAGGGGCCAGAUUCCAAUAUGCAAAGAGUGACUGAGGAUGGGGUCUGUGCUCCCGGCUUCUUGGGUCUGUCGGGAGGUUUGGGGCUGGGAUUUGGAGCUCUGGAAAGGAGCUGAGGUGCGGAGCUGAAGUCCAGACAAGACUGGCAAACCCGGGACGGAAGCGGGAACCUAUGGAGGGGAGCAGGCAGGCAUCCGGGGCUGGGGCCCUGGACUCUGGGUGCCUGGGAGGGGCAGGGCUGCCAGGAUGGUGGUGGGCAGAGAGAGCCCAUACUUUUCACCCAGCCCGCUUCACCUGUCCACUCCGAUGCCCUAGGACUGGCUAACUCGCUAUGGUUACCUGCCGCCACCCCACCCUGCCCAGGCCCAGCUGCAGAGCCCUGAGAAGUUGCGCGAUGCCAUCAAAGUCAUGCAGAGGUUCGCGGGGCUGCCGGAGACCGGCCGCAUGGGUAGGUGGCCCCCACUCCUCCCCAGCCCUGCCUCUGCACCCAGCCUGACCACCGCCCAACCCAGGCUGGAGUGCG
rnacentral:lncRNA from 1 species